rnacentral:rRNA from 1 species
AACGAACGCUGGCGGCAUGACUAACACAUGCCAGUCGAACGAGACCUUCGGGUCUAGUGGCGCACGGGUGCGUAACGCGUGGGAACCUGCCCUUAGGUUCGGAAUAACUCCCCGAAAGGGGUGCUAAUACCGGAUAAUGUCUUCGGACCAAAGAUUUAUCGCCUUUGGAUGGGCCCGCGUUGGAUUAGCUAGUUGGUAGGGUAAAAGCCUACCAAGGCGACGAUCCAUAGCUGGUCUGAGAGGAUGAUCAGCCACACUGGGACUGAGACACGGCCCAGACUCCUACGGGAGGCAGCAGUGGGGAAUAUUGGACAAUGGGCGAAAGCCUGAUCCAGCAAUGCCGCGUGAGUGAUGAAGGCCUUAGGGUUGUAAAGCUCUUUUACCCGGGAUGAUAAUGACAGUACCGGGAGAAUAAGCUCCGGCUAACUCCGUG